AGUGAACGCUGGCGGUAGGCCUAACACAUGCAAGUCGAACGGCAGCACAGUAAGAGCUUGCUCUUACGGGUGGCGAGUGGCGGACGGGUGAGGAAUACAUCGGAAUCUACUUUUUCGUGGGGGAUAACGUAGGGAAACUUACGCUAAUACCGCAUACGACCUACGGGUGAAAGCAGGGGAUCUUCGGACCUUGCGCGAUUGAAUGAGCCGAUGUCGGAUUAGCUAGUUGGCGGGGUAAAGGCCCACCAAGGCGACGAUCCGUAGCUGGUCUGAGAGGAUGAUCAGCCACACUGGAACUGAGACACGGUCCAGACUCCUACGAGAGGCAGCAGUGGGGAAUAUUGGACAAUGGGCGAAAGCCUGAUCCAGCCAUACCGCGUGGGUGAAGAAGGCCUUCGGGUUGUAAAGCCCUUUUGUUGGGAAAGAAGAGCAGCAGGUUAAUACCCCGCUGUUCUGACGGUACCCAAAGAAUAAGCACCGGCUAACUUCG
rnacentral:rRNA from 1 species